UCCUCAUAGUUCAGCUGGUGAAGAAUCUGCCUGCAAUGCAGGAGACCCGGGUUCGAUUCCUGGGUAGGGAA
rnacentral:tRNA from 1 species